GGAGAAUGCAGGCUUGUUCCUGAGCUCGGUGUGAGCCCCCAGCUGGACGCUCCGGCCUGGCUUUGCCCUCUUCUGGCACUAGUACCACCCUGAACACGGAGGAACGAGGGCGGGGCCAAGAGAGGGCGGGGCCAAGAAAGGGCGGAGCAUGGAGCAUGUGUGGAGACUGGAGUUAGAAUGGACUUAUUAUUAUUACUAUAUAGCUGCUGACUGGGACUUCCUGUGCGCGAGUGUACGUGAGUGUGUGUAUGUGUGCACGAGUGUGUUUUUGAGGGCAGUCAGAGAGAGAGAGAGGAUGCAGCGCAGGUUCCUGGUGUACGUGAGAGUUCUGUAUGUCGGAUGCAGGAAGUUUCGAGGGUCACGUCUUUCGUCUCCAGCAUUUACGGAGCGACAGAUUCAGGAAGAAGGAAGGAAGGAGUGAGGAAGUGAAAGGAAGGAAGGAAGGAAAUGUCGAGGUGAGGGAAAAGUUACUGAAAGAUUCAGAGGAAGUGUCCUAGAGUGAGACGUGCAUGUUUUUUAUAUGUGGAGGAGUUUGUGUAGGAGGGGCUGUGCUGCAAAAACUGUGAUAUUUUGUUAUUUUGGCUUGUGAAGGCAUCUGUAACUGUGUUAAAAUGUGUUGUUUUAAGAAUAUAAAAUAAUAAUAAGAAGAAGAUAAUAAUAUAAGAUCAAUUACGUUUUUUUAGAGAAAUAAUGAAUAAUAUUUGGCUAAUCUGUAAUCAUUUCAGUCUGCUGGUUGAGAACCUUAGACAGUACACAGCAGGAUGGAUUAGCCAGCAGACUUCACCAGAGGGAGGACUCUGUACCUACUGUCCGUGACAAGUCAGCAGAGAGUGUAAAGAGUGAACUAGCUUGUUUGUGUUUUGCCAUUUAGCACAAGCUAACGUGUGGUUAAUGCUUAGUUUGGCCAGCAACAGCUUAUUUGCAUAAAAGUGAAAAAGCCCAACUGCUACGAUAUGUUUGUUAGUAUUGUUGCUCUAACACUGCCGACGCUACCAGUUAGGAUCACACUUACAGUACUAGCUCCAAACCUAUGUCUGUUAGCAUCCUGGCUAAACCACCUCCCACCCAUGCCGAGGCUUUUAGCCUGUCUUUUAGCUUUGCGGCUAUAACCUAACCUAGCAGUUAGCAUUCGCAGCUAACAUGCUUGAAACCUUCUGAGGCUUUCUGCUGUGUCUGUUAGCAUUGUGGCUCCAAAUCCACCCGAAGUUAGUUGUUAGCAUCUCAGCUAACCCAAUCCAUAUGUGCCAAGCCCGGCUGCUACAGUAUGUCUGUUAGUAUUGUGGCUCUAACACUGCCGACGCUAGCAGUUAGCAUCACAGCUUUACGAUGCUAGCUCAGAACCCUCAGAGCCUGGAUGCUGUGUCUGUUAGCAUCACAGCUCCAAAUCCACCUGAAGUUGGCAGUUAGCAUUGUAUUGUGCCUCUAACACUGCCGACGCUAACAGUUAGCAUCACAGCUCCAAUCCAAAGGAGACCAGCUGUUAGCAUCAUAGCUAACCCACCCUAAAUCUCCUGAGCCUGGCUGCUGUGUCUGUUAGCAUCCUGGCUAACACACCCCCACCCCUGCUGAGUCUUUUAGCCUGUCUUUUAGCAUUGUGGCGAUAACCUAACCCAGCAGUUAGCAUUCGCAGCUAACAUGCUUGAAACCUUCUGAGCCUGGCUGCUGUGGCUGUUAGCAUCGCAGCUAACCCAAACCAUAUGUGCCCAACCCAGCUGCUACAAUAUGUCUGUUAGUAUUGUGGCUCUAACACUGCCGAUGCUAGCAGUUAGCAUAACAGGUUACAGUACUAGCUCAGAACCUUCAGAGCCUGGCUGCUGUGCCUGUUAGCAUUACAGCUCCAAUCCGAAGGAGACCAGCUGUUAGCAUCAUAGCUAACUCACCCUAAAUUUCCUGAGGCUCGCUGCUGUGUCUGUUAGCAUUACAACUUCAAAUCCAUCUGAAGUUGUCACUUAGCAUUGUAUUAGUGCUCUAACACUGCUGACGCUAGCAGUUAGCAUCAGAGCUUUCCAGUACUAGCUCUAAAUGUUCCAAGCCUGGCUGCUGUAUCUGUUAGCAUCACAGCUCCAAAUCCACCCAAAGCUAGCAGUUAGCAUUGUAUUGUGGCCCUAACACUGCCAAAACUAGCAGUUAGCAUCACAGCUUACAGUACUAGCUCAGAACCCUCUGAGCCUGGCUGCUGUGUCUGUUAGCAUCACAGCUCCAAUCCGAAGGAGACCAGCUGUUAGCAUCAUAGCUAACCUACCCUAAAUCUCCUAAGCCUGGCUGCGAGUUCUUUGGUGCAGCACUCUGUCUUCUUGCAUGUGCAGUGCAUUCUGGGCAGUAGCCAGACUGGCUAUGAAAACACAAAAGUACAGAGAACACACCCACAAAAAGGGGGCGUGGCUUCAUUCUCUGCUUUGGUCAACUUUACUCCAUUACAUCGUUACACGGAAAUAAGCUUUUUGACGCAAAAUUAAUGUUUAAAAUAAGGUUUAAGCACUUUUAAAGUUGUAAUAAGGUCUUUUUUUACACUUUCUAGUAACAGGUUUAACAUAAUAAGUGAUUGUCUAAUAUUUUACAACAUAUUUAAAACAUAAAUAGAGAUGCCUUCACAUGCUUUUGCCAAAAUAAAAUUUUUGCAGGAUGUAAGGAGAAUGUAAGA
ensembl:lncRNA